UAGUCGGCCUUUAUUCCAGAAUUAUACCAAGAGGGUGGACAGAAGUGUACUCAAGGCAGUACAUUCUAUGCUGCAAAGAUGUCUCCUGUCCUGCUCAGCUCUCUGUUUGAAUCCAGGUUAAAAUGAAAGGUCAUGCCGACUGCUUAAUCAACAUGGAAGAGAGCAUUUCUAGAGGAUUGAUGGAGUAGAAUGAAGGUCAAGAACUGAGGACCUGGAAACUCUUAGAGCACUUCAGAAAAGGGCUUUGUUUCAGAUUUGGGGCUUGGGACGAGUUUUCUGGCACAUGGGAGAUCAACUUCUUUUGUUUGCUGAAUUUGUUAAUGUAAAUAGAAUCAAGAUUUUCAUAGAUUAGUUGUUCAAGGCAUGCCCAAGAAGUAAUUGAUGUUCUUAAUAGUUAAAAAGAGGUUUUGGCAUUUA